AGAGUUUGAUCCUGGCUCAGAACGAACGCUGGCGGCGUGGAUAAGACAUGCAAGUCGGACGAGAUUUUUCGUUGUAGCAAUACGAUGGAAAGUCUAGUGGCGAACGGGUGCUUAACACGUGGGCAACCUGCCAUGAAGUGGGGGAUAGCUCGCCGAAAGGCGAAUUAAUACCGCAUGUGAUUAGAGAGGACAUCCUUUCGAAAUUAAAGUCGGGGCAACCUGACGCUUCUUGUGGGGCCCGCGGCCUAUCAGCUAGUUGGUGAGGUAACGGCUCACCAAGGCUUUGACGGGUAGCUGGUCUGAGAGGACGACCAGCCACACUGGGACUGAGACACGGCCCAGACACCUACGGGUGGCAGCAGUCGAGAAUUUUUGACAAUGGGGGAAACCCUGAUCGAGCGACGCCGCGUGGAGGAUGAAGGUCUUCGGAUUGUAAACUCCUGUCAUUGGGGAACAAGGUGCAUACGUUAACUGCGUGUGUAUUGAUAGUACCCGAAGAGGAAGAGACGGCUAACUCUGUGCCAGCAGCCGCGGUAAUACAGAGGUCUCAAGCGUUGUUCGGAUUCAUUGGGCGUAAAGGGUGCGUAGGCGGCGCGGUAAGUCGGGUGUGAAAUCUCGGAGCUUAACUCCGAAACUGCAUUCGAUACUGCCGUGCUUGAGGACUGGAGAGGAGACUGGAAUUUACGGUGUAGCGGUGAAAUGCGUAGAUAUCGUAAGGAAGACCAGUGGCGAAGGCGGGUCUCUGGACAGUUCCUAACGCUGAGGCACGAAAGGUCAGGGGAGCAAACGGGAUUAGAUACCCCGGUAGUCCUGACAGUAAACGGUGCACGUUUGGUGUGGGAGGAUUCGACCCCUUCUGCGCCGGAGCUAACGCGUUAAACGUGCCGCCUGGGGGAGUACGGUCGCAAGAUUAAAACUCAAAGAAAUUGACGGGGCCCGCACAAGCGGUGGGGU
rnacentral:rRNA from 1 species